CUGCUUGUAUAUAUAUGUAAGAGCUAUCAAACAGGCAAAUUAUGAAGUAGAUAUUUCAGAAGAGAAGGGCAUAUUUACUUAGACCUUUUAUUGAGGAUAUUUUAAAAUAUAUAAAAGUAGAAUACUAUAAUGAAUUCCCAUGCACUCAACAUUUAGUUCCUUUUUUUUAAGUCUAUUUAAAUUCCAGUUCAUUUAUACCAGUUAAUAAUUUACAGUGUAAUAAUUAGUUUCAGGUGUAUAAUAUAGUUAUUUCAACAUCUAAUUUUUUUAAAUAUUUUUUUACGUUUAUAUUAAUUCAAUUUUUUGUGAGAGAGAUAGAGACAGAGUGCAAGCCACAGAGGGACAGAGAGAGAGAGACACAGAAUCCCAAGCAGGCUCCAGGUUCUGAGCUGUCAGCACAGAGCCCAAGAUGGGGCUUGAACUCAUCAACCUCGAGAUCGUGACCUGAGCCGAAGUCGGACACUCAACCGACUGAGCCACCCAGGGCCCCCUCAUCAUCUAAAUUUCAGUUAUAACCUGUAUAAUGUUGAUCUUGUUGCCUGCCAUGGAAUAUUUAAAUACGAAUCCAAGGCAUUAUAUCAUUUAGUUUAUAUCUCUUAAAGAUAGAUUUUUUAAAGUAACUAAAAUAGCAUCAUACCUGGAAAAUAUAUUAAUAAUUGUUCCUUAAUAUUAUCACAAAUUUAAUCAGUAUGUACACUUCUCCAGUUGUCUCAACAUUUUUUUUUUUUUUGCCUCCUUAAUCUUUUUUUUCUCCACAGCUGGUGUUUUGUUUUUUUUUUUUUCUUUAUAAUGGGCCACUCUCUGUAUUUGAUUGAUUUAUCUUUUAGGUUGCUUUUUUUUUUUUUAGGCUUUACUAUAAAAAAUACCACACAUACAUAAGAGUAGAGAGAGAGAGAGAUGAAAUGAAUCCCAUGUUCCCAUCAAAUGGCUCCAUCUGCUGCCAACAUAUUGUUUCAUCUGUAGUUUCUCACUCUCCUUUAUCACCCAUAUUCUUGAGGCAAGUUGUUGACAUCGUGUAAUUUUAGCCAUGAAUAUGUGAAUACUUACCUCUAAAAGGAUGCUUUAAAAAAUUAUCACAAUAUAUUGUACUUAAAGGAUGACCAGUAAUUCCUUAGUAAGAAGGAAUAUCUGGCAUUCAAAUUUUCCUGAUUAUCUCAUAAACACUUUUUCAAUAAUUGUUUGCCACUAGAUGCAAACAGGUCACACAUUGCCUUUGAUUGGUGCAUUUGGUCUCUUUCAUUUCUCUUAAUCAGUAGGGCACCCCUCCUUUUCUUCUUUUCUUGCCAUUUAUUUUUGUCUCUUGCUGUUAUUAAAGUAACAGAAGUCUUUUGUCCCUUUGAAUUUUCCCAUCCUGGGUUUUACCAAUUACGUUCUGAGGCAUGAUUUAAUAUAUUCCUCUAUCCCUGUAUUUCAUGGAAACUGGUAGGUAGCUCUAGAAUCUUGAUCAUAUAUCAGUUCGUUUGUUUGGCAAGAAUACUAUACUGCAGGGGCGCCUGGGUGGCUCAGUCGGUUGAGCGGCCGACUUCGGCUCAGGUCAUGAUCUCGCGGUCUGUGAGUUCGAGCCCCACGUAGGGCUCUGUGCUGAUGGCUCAGAGCCCGGAGCCUGCUUCUGAUUAUGUCUCCCUCUCUCCCUGCCCCUCCCCCACUCACAGUCUGUCUGUCUCUCUCUCAAAAAUAAACAUUAAAAAAAAAAUUAAGGGGCGCCUGGGUGGCGCAGUCGGUUAAGCGUCCGACUUCAGCCAGGUCACGAUCUCGCGGUCCGUGAGUUCGAGCCCCGCAUCAGGCUCUGGGCUGAUGGCUCAGAGCCUGGAGCCUGUUUCCGAUUCUGUGUCUCCCUCUCUCCUGCCCCUCCCCCAUUCGUGCUCUGUCUCUCUCUGUCCCAAAAAUAAA